rnacentral:rRNA from 1 species
UACGUAGGCAGCAAGCGUUGUUCGGAAUUACUGGGCGUAAAGAGUGUGUAGGCGGUGCUCUAAGUUCGGUGUGAAAUCUCCCGGCUCAACUGGGAGGGUGCGCCGGAAACUGGGGUGCUGGAGCGCGGGAGAGGAAAGCGGAAUUCCUGGUGUAGCGGUGAAAUGCGUAGAUAUCAGGAGGAACACCGGCGGUGUAGACGGCUUUCUGGACCGUAGCUGACGCUGAGACACGAAAGCGUGGGGAGCGAACAGG